GGGUCUCUGGUUUUAUGUGUCUGCUCAAACAACAGCACCAGCAAGCGAAGCUGCUGCCGACUCCUGGUCAUCGCAGACGAGGAGCCUGCUGGGGCAGAGAGCAGCAGUUUGGCAAUUCCCAAGGAAAUCUGAACUUUUGAUCUUCUGACCUUUGAAAGGGGGUGGUUUUUAAAUGCACACCAAAUACUACAGACCUAUUAGCCACGGGCAGAUGUGACUGACACAGAUGAGCUGUUGGCCUUCCUAGGAGAUGCUGCAUCAACACAAUGCUGUCUGAAUAUGCCACAGGGGAGACAAGCUUGGCACCCCGUGAACUUUAUUGCCAUGGAGAAUUUGGCAGAAGUCAUCAUACCUUGCAGCCAGCAUCUUCCUGUGGCAGGCUCAGGUCUUGUAUCUUUGUUUCCUUGAACUUCCCAGGAGUUCCAGCCUGACCACACUGGUUUUGUGCUAUGGGAUGCCUAGAAAAUAUGGAUGCCCUAAACAGGACUGAUCGACAUCCAGCAAGCGAUUCCCAGGUUACUGUCAGCCAAACCACGGUGCCUUGGGAUCCAAACAGCACAAAAGAGUCAACCUGCUGAGUCUCACAGCAUCUGCCUUGGCCUCAGUUGAAGACUCAAGCAUGUUCCAGUGGUCCUGCACUCCCCGUGCACAGGGUCAGCCGAAACAGGCUCUCAUCAUCCGGCUUUCCAACAGGGAAUUUCUCACGGCACGAGCAACCUCCUUUCCAGCAAAUCACAGGUGUUCCCCACAUGGCGUGAGCAGUUCUGGGAGAGGAAAUUCUGCAAACCGACUCUGAACUCAGGAAAGGGAGGUACUUGAGAACUUGCUGUGCUGAGGGAAAAUACAAGAGGCUUGUCUUUGCAAUUGUGCCUGAUUGAGCACUACUGAAAAACACAGAAAUGUGGAGCCAGACUGGUACCAAGCAGUUCCAGGAUAAGACAAAUGAUCUUUGUGUUACUGGAUCUCUGCACCACCAACUGGGAUUGAAAAAAGAGAUGGCACGGCUUUUCUCUGGGAACAGGGGGUGUGUGCGCACCAAAAAGCACCAAGGAGGAACUGGAGCCUUGGCGGGUCCAGGAGGGUGCCCAGAGCAGCUCUGCAAGCAAAGUUAGUGCCUUCACUCCUCUGUCAUCACCAGUCCCUGAGAGCAAUCACCACCCACCAACAGUUCCUUGAGAUAAGCCCGAGCCAGCUGGGAGAAGAAAGCCUUUGAUAUUCCCCUGCCUUGCUGAGCUGCUGUGGCAUCAAAGGUUGCCCGUGCUGAUGAGUAUGUGCAAGCCAGGAAAGUGGAAUCAACCCUGGACCAGAUGAAAACCUUCCCACAGCAUGGAUGGAGACUGGGCCAACCCUGGCACAUGGAAAUGGACCUGUGCAGCUUGAAAGUCAGGCACAACACAGCAGCAGCAGCAGCAGGGAGAGGAGGAUUUGUCCCAGUGAAUACACAAGCUGUAUGAGGAUAUCUCAGCAGGCAGCCCCCAAGCUCCAGCAGGACCCAAGGAUCCAGGAUCCAGGUACUCUCAAAAGCUUGGAUUGUAAUGACUGAGACCUGAGGACCCAGCAUUGCUGGAGAACAACCGUGAUUUCCAGCCAUCUCUUCUGUCUCACUUCCAGUGCUCAAUCAGUCUAAUUACUGCUGGGCCUUUGCCCAUCCUGUUGUGAAAUGCUUCAGGGGUUAAAGAAAAACAGCAACAACAACAAAAAAAGAUCAAACUGUGGUCUAAACCUCAGGAGGAAGAAGGCAUCUGUCAGGACAAGCUUUUACCAGAAGUGGUAUAAAGAAUCCUUGUUUACUGAAUCUUUCAAGUCUGUAGCUAGUUCAAAGACACCUCACAGUCCUCCUCAUUAGAGGAGCAAAGGAACAGAAAAGCCCUCAGUCUAACUCAUUAAAAGCAGUAGCUUUGUGUGCUAUGGUGUGGCAGGCUUUUGUAGGUUGGAUUUUUUUCUUUUGCAUCUGCUAAUGGUAAAGUUCUUUCCAAAGUGAUAAUCCACCCCUGUGUC